rnacentral:lncRNA from 1 species
ACAGUGGCAGCGGCAGCUUCUGGAGCAGCUGGGGGAGGGGGGGUUACUGAGCGGCGCGCGAAAAUGGGAAAGAAAAAAAAGGUCCGGGUCGCCCUAAUAUUCAACACUACCGACGGCGUUUUGCCGUCGCUAGUUAGCGGGGGCAAAUGCCGUCGUUAGAAAUAAAAAAUAAUUAAAUAUUAAUAAUACAUAUAGUACCGGCGGCGCCGCCGUCGUUAAUCACCGGCGGCCAGUUUGCCGUCGGUAGUUGGCCGGUAUUUAAAAAAAAUCGGGUCGGCUCCUUUGCCGUCGUCGGUAGAUCUGGAUGGUACUAUUUUUUGUAGUGCUAGCAAAUAAAAAAAAAAGUGAGUAUUUCUUAAAUUGAGUUUGAGAAAAGUGGGUAUUUUUUAUGCAAGGCUCCCUUAAACAAAUUAUCCCCUGUAGAAUACAUAAUUCUAUCUAGCUAUUAGCUAUAAA